rnacentral:rRNA from 1 species
ACCCCCCCCCCCCCCCUUUUUUUUUGUUUAGAAGGAAGUUGAUUAAACGCGCUUAUUGGCGCUCCCAAUGGGGGGCUAACGGAACCCUUAGGGAACCGGAGCGGUUAUGGCACUCUUUAAAAAACGGUAAUGGUUCCUCCUUCAAGGCCAGUCUUACUUUGGGGUACGUUCCUAGGGGGGGUACGCUAAAGGGAUGCCACUGGAUGAGCCGCCCACUCUCGGAGCGCGUCGGAUUUCGGAUGAGAAGUUGAUGAGCACGCGCUGAUGAGAAGUUUCGAUGUAAAUCUGUAUCGGAGACAGUACUGUUUACUCCGUACUUGACGUACUACCAGAAGCACGCUACUCGUGCAGCAGCCGCGUAUACGUAGGGGCAGCGUGUCGGAUUAUGGGGUAAGCGCGCGCGGCUUUCUUAGUCUGAUUGAAGCCGCGCUCACCGGGAGGUCAUUUGAACUGGGAACUGAGUGCAGAGAGAAAGGGAAUUCCAAGUGUAGCGUGAAAUGCGUAGAGAUUGGAGAACACCAGUGGGAAGGCGACUUCUGGUCUGUAACUGACGCUGAGGCGCGAAACGUGGGAGCAAACAGAUUAGAUACCCUGGUAGUCCCCCCGUAAACGAUGAGUGCUAACUGUUAGAGGGUUUCGCCUUUUAGUGCUGCAGCAAACGCAUUAAGCACUCCGCCUGGGGAGUACGACCGCAAGGUUGAAACUCAAAGGAAUUGACGGGGGCCCGCACAAGCGGUGGAGCAUGUGGUUUAAUUCGAAGCAACGCGAAGAACCUUACCAGGUCUUGACAUCCUCUGACAAUCCUAGAGAUAGGACUUUCCCCUUCGGGGGACAGAGUGACAGGUGGUGCAUGGUUGUCGUCAGCUCGUGUCGUGAGAUGUUGGGUUAAGUCCCGCAACGAGCGCAACCCUUGAUCUUAGUUGCCAGCAUUCAGUUGGGCACUCUAAGGUGACUGCCGGUGACAAACCGGAGGAAGGUGGGGAUGACGUCAAAUCAUCAUGCCCCUUAUGACCUGGGCUACCCCCCUGCUCCAAUGGAUGGUACAAAGGGCUGCAAGGCCGCGAGGUUUAGCCAAUCCCAUAAAACCAUUCUCAGUUCGGAUUGUAGUCUGCAACUCGCGUACAUGAAGCCGGAAUCGCUAGUAAUCGCGGAUCAGCAUGCCGCGGUGAAUACGUUCCCGGGCCUUGUACACACCGCCCGUCACACCAUGGAGAGUUUGUAACACCGGAAGUCGGUGGGGUAACCUAUGGAGCCAGCCACCAAGAGUCGAUGGU